AGGCGCUCCUUUGGCUGUUCAUGAAGGGCCGGCAGCCCAGGGUCCAGACAGCGUUGAACACUGUAUCUGCGACGGAUUCACAAGCUGUGGAGAAAGGAAAGAUCGGGCAUGUGUGUUUCGUCCCAUUUUCCAAAUGUAAAUAAUUGUAAGUGUCCAGGCUUGGGGCAGGAGUGUGUGUAGGCAGAUCUCAGCACUGCGAAUUCUCAUUCAGCUUUGACCCAUCUGUGACAAGCACAGGGCAGAUACGCUUCUCCCUACUGCAGAUUUUUGCUUUGUUUGGCAAGGAAAGGACUCCCUGCACACAAACAUCCCUCCCUGCCAUCGGUUGUUCUCUCUGGAGCAGAUCCCCCUGCCCCUGCAGGGGACACGAGCCUACCUUCCACCUUGGAGACGAACCCGAGGCUGCGCUUGAGGUCCGAGCAGAUGGAGUGGAGGCACCAGCGGAACUUGGCAUCGCAGCGGUAUUUGUUGGCCCCGCAGGUGUCGUAACAGAUGUCCAGCUGGUUGCAACACUUGGUCAUGGCAGGGAUGCCCAAAUCUAACUGGGGGAGGAACGAAAAGAAGAGUCUCUUGGCUGCACGCUGGCCUCACACUCAAAUGUCUGCAACUGCCGGAGGCUACACCCCAAACCUGGGACAGCAGGAGGGAAAGCAUGCUCCUCCUUCGCCAUCUGACGUAAGCGUCCAACAGUAGUGCAGUCUGCCCCAGUGUGGGGCAGGCCACACUGCCUCCUCUCCUCUCUGCCGCUGGGGAAUAACCUCUGGCUGAGAGGUGGGGAACAGCCCCUCUGCAACGUUCGCUAGGUCUCAUUCGUUAGAGCUCAUCAGAAAGCUUCUUGUUCUUACCAGCGGUGGCAAAGCCCCCUUUUAUCUUUCCUCCUCUUCCCAAAACCUGGCAAAACCUCCUUUCGGCCUAGCUCAUCUGCUGUAGGUGCUAUUAAUGCCUUAUUUCUCCCAGAUGUGCUUGUGAGGCCAAGAAGAAAUACAAUUUGGACUUGGGGGUUCUGUUCACCUCUCCACAGGGGUGAUGGGGCUUGUCUCUGGAGAGACUGGAGUUAUUAGCUUAUUAUAAAUUCUUCUUCUUUUUGUCCUUCCUCAUCUAAUAAUUACGAGAUGAGUUUUUUCUUCAUGCUUGCCCAGGUAAGGAGGAGUUACCACAGAAAUGCCCACAAGCUUUGCAAUGACAUAUAGUUUAAAGAGGUAAUUUAACAUGAAAAAUUGACUGUGGGGAGGAGGGUUUUUCAGAGCUGGAAUGUGCUUAAUUGCUGCAGACUUCAUGGGCAGCAGUAAUGCACCAGCUAAAUAGUGAUUCCUGCUCUUAGAGUCUCCUGGGAGUGCUUUUUCCUGGGGGUUCCAAUUUACUUUGAUUUCAUUAAUUGCCUUUAAAAUUACAAGUGGGUGCAGCAUUAAAGGCCACAGGUUUAUUUCAGUGCUCAGCAGAAGCAAAAAGCAUGGGAGGAGAUGGAGUGCCAGCUGUGGAGAAGGCCUUCAAGUACUGCUGUUCACGCAUUAUGUGCUCUGGCUUCAGUCAUUAAGAGGAGAGAAGCUGUCACACAGUCAACAUGUAGCACAGAUGGACAAAGAAGCAGUGCAGCUCUCUGUAGCAUCGGAUGACGGGAGGCAGCUCUGCAGCCUGGCUCAGCUCGUCCCUCCUCCUGCACAGCCACUGGAGCACUGUGGGCUAACCCUAGAACAGAAGCAAAGCACGAAGAGGCAUUCCUGACUCUACAUGAACUACAUGAACAUCUACUCCGUGCCCUUGUUACCGUUGCUUGCUUCCCCUUCCUACAAGCCUGUCUGUGAUGGAGAAGGAAGUCGGCCUCAGUGAGUGCUGAAAAAGCAGGAGGAGAGUCCAACUGCCUGAACAGCCAGAAGUCUAGUGCUCAGCCAAAGAUGGAUGUGGCAAUUACAGCAGUUCCAAGAAGGAGUCAAAGUAGCUGUUGACUGCUUCGAAGCUGUCCCGGAUGGCCCCGAUGCCCCAGUCUGAAGAGGAUGACUCCGUUGGGGGAGCGUGGUGGACGAUGUUCUCCUGUGCUGUUUCCUCAGUGCAUUGCCCUAAGCCCAGGCCCAGGCACAGAACUGCUGCCUCAAAAAACAGCCUCAUGCUGCAGUCCAGAUCCAGGCCUCAGAGGCCCUGUGCACGCAGAUGUGCAGGCAGGGAGGAGUGGGACUGAACUGGUGUGCGUACAGGGCAGGAGACAGCUCCGCAGCGCUGUUACUUCGGAAAUGCCAGUGCUCUGCAGCACCCAACUGCCUACAUCCUUCUGCACCCUGCUCUGCCUCCUGUGCUUCAGAUGCGGGAUAAGGAGGAGACACUACAGCUAAAUCUGGGCUUCUCAGACAGAUUCCUGAUGACCACAAACUACUAGGACUACUAGGCAAAGCACAGGAGUGCCCAUCACGUAUAAACUGCAGCAGAAGGCUUGGUUAAGGAAGAACUCAACCUAAACUUUCUACGUAAGUGUUCUAUUUCCACCCCCUCAUCAUGCUAUUGGUGUCUGUGUUGCAGGAUAUUCUGAU